rnacentral:rRNA from 1 species
UACAGAGGGGGCAAGCGUUGUUCGGAAUUACUGGGCGUAAAGGGCUCGUAGGCGGCCAACUAAGUCAUACGUGAAAUCCCUCAGCUUAACUGGGGAACUGCGUGUGAUACUGGAUGGCUUGGAUUUGGGAGAGGGAUGCGGAAUUCCAGGUGUAGCGGUGAAAUGCGUAGAUAUCUGGAGGAACACCGGUGGCGAAGGCGGCAUCCUGGACCAAUAUUGACGCUGAGGAGCGAAAGCCAGGGGAGCAAAGCGGG